GGAGUUUGCCAGACAGUCGCUGUCUGCACCGGUUUACCGGGGCAGGGGGAGGAAAGUCCGGGCUCCAUCGGGCAAGGUGCCAGGUAACACCUGGGCGGCGUGAGUCGAUGGAAAGUGCAACAGAAAGUAUACCGCCUACGUAGCUUCGGCUGCCGGUAAGGUUGAAAUGGUGCGGUAAGAGCGCACCGCAUGACUGGUAACAGUUCAUGGCGAUGGAAAACCCCACCUGGAGCAAGACCAAAUAGGGAUCCGUUAGGCGCGCCCACGCUGGAUCCGGGUAGGUCGCACGAGCCGAUUGGUGACAAUCGGCCCAGAUAAAUGACUGUCCACGACAGAACCCGGCUUAUCGGCAAACUCCUCUU
rnacentral:RNase_P_RNA from 1 species